rnacentral:lncRNA from 1 species
UGAGAUGUAACUACCAUAUAAUUUGCGUCUUUAAAAUAUACAAUUCAGUGGUCUUUUGCUUAUUCACAGAAUUGUGUAACUAUCGUCACUAUCAAUUUUAGAAUAUAUUCACCACCUCCCAAAAAAACUCUAUAUCCAUCAGCAAUCAUUCUUCCCUUACUUCUCCCCUAGCCCGAGGCAAUCAUUAAAAUGUCUGUCUCUAUGGAUUUGCCUCUUCUGGAUGUUUUAUAGAAAUGGAAUCAUAUAAUAUGUGGUCUUCUGUGUCUGACCUUGUUCACUUAACACAAUCUUUUCAAGAUUCAUCCAUGUGGUAUCAAGUACCUGUACUUUUUUAUUGCCAAAUAAUAUUCCAUUGUAUCAUAUACUACACUUUAUUUAUCAAUCAGGUGAAGACAUUUGAAUUACAUGUAUGAAUUCAGAUUUGCAUGGAAGGACUUGAACAUCCGUGACAGGCAUAAUGUUUUGAGACAGACAUAGUGGGAAUGAGGGUAGAGUGGGUUACGAAUGGGCAGUAACCCAUUUUACAAUUAUAAAACUUCUGUGUUCCAUCCCCCUCCCCAUCCUCUUUUCUAUCCCUCUCUUUCCUUUUCUAUUUUUGAGAAAUAAACCAGCUAAAGAGAUGAGUAAGUCAUGGAUCUGACUUUAUUCAUGCCCCAGUCUCUCCAACUUAGUACCAUACUGCAUUCCCCACUGCUCAGACCACAGAAGAGAAAGUCUCUGAAAUACCAGCCUAACUUCAACAAAACCUUUUCAAAUAAAUAAUUUCAUUCAACUGAAGAACUUCCAGUAGAUGAGAGAGCAUAAUAUGGCAUCCAGGACUCUCACACCAGGCUGUCUUUUAGCUACUGCCAAAAACAAGAAAAUGCUGGAUUGGCACAAGGGAAUCAGAAAUGAACAAGAUGCUGUCCUUGUCCUCAAGGAGCUCAGCAGUGUGGAGGGAGAGACGAGAGAGAUGCUAGUGUCAUCACAAUAUGGUGUGGUAAGUGCAACUGUUGAAGUGUGUGCAAGGGAUGCAGAUAUCACAAAGAAGAGUGUGAUUAUCUCUGUGGGAAGAUUUCAGGAAAGGCUUGCAAGAGGAUGUGACAACUAA